rfam:Picea glauca, whole genome shotgun sequence.
ACAUGCUUACAAUAUAACGUUAAUGCACUGGAUCCCACUAGAACUCUCUAGUUAAGCACGCUUGGGCUAGAGUAGUACUAGGAUCAAUGAUCACUCGAGAAGUCCUAGUGUUUUACAUGCC